UACGGAGGGGACUAGCGUUGUUCGGAAUUACUGGGCGUAAAGCGCACGUAGGCGGAUUUGUUAGUCAGGGGUGAAAUCCCGAGGCUCAACCUCGGAACUGCCUUUGAUACUGCAAAUCUCGAGUCUGGAAGAGGUGAGUGGAAUUCCUAGUGUAGAGGUGAAAUUCGUAGAUAUUAGGAAGAACACCAGUGGCGAAGGCGGCUCACUGGUCCGGUACUGACGCUGAGGUGCGAAAGCGUGGGGAGCAAACAGG
rnacentral:rRNA from 1 species